UACGGGGGGAGCAAGCGUUGUUCGGAUUUACUGGGCGUAAAGGGCGCGUAGGCGGCCACCGCAAGUCAAUUGUGAAAUCUCCGGGCUUAACUCGGAAAGGUCAACUGAUACUGCGGGGCUAGAGUGCGGAAGGGGCAACUGGAAUUCUCGGUGUAGCGGUGAAAUGCGUAGAUAUCGAGAGGAGCACCUGCGGCGAAGGCGGGUUGCUGGGCCGACACUGACGCUGAGGCGCGAAAGCCAGGGGAGCGAACGGG
rnacentral:rRNA from 1 species